rnacentral:lncRNA from 12 species
GUAAUUCAAGUUGAUUAUCUGUCAUUUGCAACAGUGAAUGAUGAGCCUAACACUGGAAUAACAUUAUAAGAUUCAAAUACUGAACUCCUGGCAUCUCAUCAGGACAUUCCAUUUGACUUUACCUGGAAAUGGAGGAACGCUUGCAAAGAGAAAAUGGAACCUGUGCAUCAGAACACCGGCUCAGAAGCAGAUCAAGGAUGAGUACUUUGAGAAACACAGGUACCUUUAAGUAUUCCAUAUCAAUGACAGAAUCACUGGCUGCCCGGAGCAGAGAGGGCCACUGUGGAGCUGUCACUUCUUCAAUCACUUGUGUUUCAACUUUGAUUCAUGAUCCACUUGAAUCUGGAUGUGGUAUCUUGGACGACACAGAAUGAAAUGCAAGAUAAUAAGAAGGAUACGAAAUGGAUCGUAAAGCUUCUGCUCAGAAGACUUUAUGUCACCUCUUCUACUUCACUCAUCAAACCAAGCCAUGUGUCUGAGCUUUAUGGCAACAGGACAGAGACCCAGUACUAGUAACAUGAUAUGGAAUAGAGAUGUAUAAUCCUAUUAUAGGUGGGACAACAAAUAAUUGGAAAUAAAUUAAAAUCUUGGGUUACA